rnacentral:pre_miRNA from 1 species
CAUGCAUCAGUGGGGUCCCUUGGCCUGGCCUGUGCCCUCUCGCAAUCCAGGACCCUUUGAGAGAUGUCAGAGAGCCGGUUUCAGCCCAAUCCUGCAGGCCAGGCCGAGGGACCCCACUGGUGCACA